rnacentral:lncRNA from 1 species
GUAACCUUUCUGGGUUCACGGCAGUGUCCCCUGGCCUCCCACUAAUCGCCCUGUGGCCAGUACCUCCCACCCACCAAAGUCCUAGUUCCUGUGGGUUUCCAUUCCAACGUGAGAAACAGCAGAAGCUGGAGAGUCUAACAUCCAACACUGGGGCAGAGGGAGGCUCCUGGCGUCAGAGCUGGGGAGAGGAGUUUGGAGGUGUCAUUGAAGUUCUCCAUACGGCAACCAGGGAAAGAAAUUUUUUCUAACUUCAAGUCUUUCUCCACCUGAGCCCCCUCACAUCCCUUCCUCCAUCCCCCACUUAGACCUCGCACCUCCUCAGGGUGGGUGUGAGUUCCUGGAGCCUUCUCAGCCUGCAGGUACAACGGAUUGAGACAAGCUGUGUCUUCUGCUCCUCAGCACGGGAUCGAACUUGGGACCUUGUGCUUGCAAGGCAGGCGCCAGAACCACUGAGCUAAAUCCCCAGCCCAAAGAGUAGGUACUUUUUAAGAUUUCCAUAGACACUAAAUAUUGCUUCCCAAAGAACAUGUACCCAUCUCUAACGCAGCCACUAGAAUAUGAAGAUUGUGCCGGGCGUGGUGGCACACCUGUAAUCCUACCACUCAGGAGGCUGAGGCAGGAGGAUCACCAGGAGAUCAAGGCCAGCCUGGACUACAUAGGGAAAUCCUGUCACAGCCAAACAGACAAAAAUAUGAAGAUUGUUCCUCUGUCAUGAAUACCACCAAUCAACAAGCUCUGGGGAUUGAAUCGGGAUUUACACCCACUAGGCCAGCACUCUGCCACAAAGACUCAUCCCCAGCCCUUCCCUCCUGCUUGUUUCCUUGAUUCAUUGACCUUCAUUGAUCUUUGGAGGCCUUUAGACUUUUUUUUUGUUACUGGGCAUCAAACUCAGGACCUUGUGCUUGCCAGUCAGGGGGUGGAACCACUGAGCUAAAUCGCUG